UGGCUGCCUUGUUGUUGGCGACUGUUGGGCGCUUGUUUGGAAAUUAAUGUUUAUUUCUUUGUAUUAUUAUGAGUUCAAUUAAUUAUGUUAUCGUCAUUGUGAAGAUAAACGCACGAAUUAGUUAAUUGGUAAUUAACCCGGGCGCUGCCCCAACAGUCACCCUCAAGGAGAGCCAAUGCCCCGCCUAGCUUAAGCCUACUUUACGAUAAGUGCAACGUUAGACAGACAAGAUGUGGCCCGCACCGCAGUACUCGCACACUAAUCAGCCCAAGGGCAAUGAGCAUCAGAACCAGCAGAAUUUGAAGACGCUGGGGAUGACCUCCGCAAUAUCCAUGGCAGGUCCAAAACCAAUCGACAUCGAAAAGACAAACGAGCUGAAAGAAGCUCUAAUCCCAUUUGGUGUCUUCGAGUCUGAUGCUGAGAUGGACCAUCGCAUGGAAGUGCUUGGAGCCCUACAUAGGCUUGUGAGGCAGUGGAUCAGAGACGAGAGUAUGAGGAAAAAUAUGCCGCCAAAUGUAGCUGACACUGUUGGUGGGAAUAUAUACACAUUCGGAUCUUAUAGACUUGGGGUCCACCACCGCGGCGCUGAUAUCGACGCGCUGUGUGUGGCGCCGCGACACAUUGACCGGACAGACUACUUCCAGUCUUUCUACGAGCUGCUCCGCCAGCAACCACAGGUUCGCGAUUUGCGCGCAGUAGAGGACGCAUUUGUGCCAGUGAUCAAAAUGAACUUCAACGGUAUUGAGAUAGAUCUGCUAUUCGCCCGGCUCGCACUCAAGGAGAUACCAGAUUCCUUCGACCUCCGAGACGACAUGCUUCUCAAGAACCUGGACCAGAAAUGCGUGCGUUCGCUAAACGGGUGUCGCGUCACCGAUGAGAUACUUCGACUCGUGCCCAAUAUUGACAACUUCCGGCUGACGCUGCGAGCCAUCAAACUCUGGGCCAAACGUCACGGCAUCUACUCGAACACACUGGGCUACCUCGGCGGUGUCUCCUGGGCGAUGCUGGUCGCUCGCACUUGCCAACUCUACCCGAAUGCCCUGCCAGCUACCUUGCUGCACAAAUUCUUCCUGGUCUUCAGUCAAUGGAAGUGGCCACAGCCAGUGCUUCUCAAACAGCCUGAUAGUGUGAACCUGGGCUUUCCAGUGUGGGAUCCAAGAGUAAACGUGUCAGACCGGUUCCACCUGAUGCCGAUCAUCACCCCCGCCUACCCGCAACAGAACUCCACCUUCAACGUGUCCGCCUCCACAAGGACAGUCAUCAUGGAGGAAUUCAGAGUCGGCCUCUCAAUAACAGACGAGAUAAUGCUCUCAAAAUGCGGCUGGGAGCGCCUGUUCGAAGCGCCCAACUUCUUCUCGCGCUACAAACACUUUAUAGUGCUCCUCGCUUCUUCUGUCAACAAGGACGACCAGCUCCAGUGGUGUGGCUUGGUGGAAAGCCGGAUCAGGCAUCUCAUCACAACACUAGAAAGAAACCAACAUAUAACCAUCGCGCACGUCAACCCAGAGUGUUACAAUUCAGUGCCGCUGAAUAUCAACAACGGGCAGCCACUCGCCCUGCCACCAGGUGCUCCAGUCCCAGAUCCUGGUAAUGAAGUUAAAAAGAAUGAAAAUGGUGAAAUAAUAGCUAAUCACUGUUCAAUGUGGUUCAUCGGUCUAGUCUUCGAGAAGACCAACCUAAACGUAGACCUGACGUACGACAUAUCCACGUUCACGAAGAGUGUGCAUUACCAAGCAGAAAACACCAAUAUGCUGAGAGAAGGGAUGGCUAUAGAGGUCCGGCACGUUCGACGUAAGCAACUACACCAAUACCUCUCAGCGUCACUAUUGGUCAAGCGUGAGCGGACAGCGUCAGGAACCAAGCGUAAGCCGGACGCCCAGCCCGUCAAACCCGCACCUAAGAAGACUAAGCGAUUGUCAGAGAGCAGUACGGACGAAGUGAGCAUCCUAUCGUACAACGACGACUCGAACUCGUCCAACGUGUACGAACUCAACCUCAACAACGCACCCGCCGCCGCGCCCGCGCCCGCCGCCGCCUCCGCGCCCGCCGCCGCUACAGCCGCGGAGCCCGCCGCGGGCGCGGCCGGGCCCAGCAUCGCCUGCACGUAGCAGUACGAGGAGUGGCGCCGCCGCUUCAUCUACGGCACGCACCCCGCGCCGCGCCCGCGCCCGCGCCGGCCCCGCGUCACCAGUGCGAGGGCUCCGCUGUGAAGUGUAGUGAAGUGUACAGUGCAGUGCUGACUGGGAUAUGGACCUACUGUAGUGAUCGACACUAGGGAACUACCGUUACUAUACAUGACCGCUUACACUCUACAUGACCUGAGUUCUUACGCGGCUUACGAUGCGUGCCACCUAAAGAGUAACUCGCAGAUGUUUAUGUGACCGCACUCUUAGAUAUCUGCUCGAAUGACAGUUCCUCAGUCGUCCUAUAUGCGACGUUUGACAUAAAGAUGUGGUGUUAUUCUAUUUUAAUGGUCUAACGCGACACACUACUGUAAUCCGCUCCGAGAUACGACUUUGACCACCUUCCUAAGUCUAAUAAUCACAAAGUUGAUUAUAAAUCACGUCGCCGGCUUGGGCGCGAGUCUGGUAAGUUGUGUGGUGACAUUGAAAGACACUGUGAGACCAUUUGCAAGGAAAUGCGAGGUAUUUCUGGAACUGUAUGAACUUUAGUAAUAUAGCGAGGGAACAGUGGAUCAGUGGAAAGUCGGUACAGUACAGUGGCUCAAGCUAUAUACGCGUUACCUGGCUAUUUUUUACAGCGCCAAUGUUCCUUCCUUGACCCCAUUUCUGAUAAGAGCUUACCUUACGUUAUGUGUUGUGAACCUUCUAUAACGCCUCAUUUAGAUUACGUUACUGUUUUCCAACAUACUUUUAUACCUUCUACGUAUGUUAAAUAAUAUAGGUAUAUGAUAAAUAUGAAGCGCUGGUAGCCUAGCUUUAGUACGUGCGACUUUCGUUCCGGAGGUCGCGGGUUCGAACCCCGGCUCGUACCAAUGAGUUUUUCGGAAUUUAUGUG